UACGUAGGGCGCAAGCGUUGUCCGGAAUUAUUGGGCGUAAAGAGCUCGUAGGCGGCUUGUCACGUCUGCUGUGAAAUCCCGGGGCUCAACCCCGGGCGUGCAGUGGAUACGGGCUGGCUAGAGGCAGGCAGGGGAGAACGGAAUUCCCGGUGUAGCGGUGAAAUGCGCAGAUAUCGGGAGGAACACCGGUGGCGAAGGCGGUUCUCUGGGCCUGUACUGACGCAGAGGAGCGAAAGCGUGGGGAGCGAACAGG
rnacentral:rRNA from 1 species